GACGAGCCACCCGAACGUUAUUCGGAAUUAUUGGGCGUAAAGGGCUCGUAGGCGGUUUGUCGCGUCGGGAGUGAAAUCAUCUGGCUUAACUGGGUGCUUGCUUUCGAUACGGGCAGACUAGAGGUAUGCAGGGGAGAACGGAAUUCCUGGUGUAGCGGUGAAAUGCGCAGAUAUCAGGAGGAACACCGAUGGCGAAGGCAGGUCUCUGGGCCACUACUGACGCUGAGAAGCGAAAGCAUGGGGAGCGAACAGG
rnacentral:rRNA from 1 species